rnacentral:rRNA from 1 species
GACGAACGCUGGCGGCGUGCUUAACACAUGCAAGUCGAACGGAAAGGCCCUGCUUUUGUGGGGUGCUCGAGUGGCGAACGGGUGAGUAACACGUGAGUAACCUGCCCUUGACUUUGGGAUAACUUCAGGAAACUGGGGCUAAUACCGGAUAGGAGCUCCUGCUGCAUGGUGGGGGUUGGAAAGUUUCGGCGGUUGGGGAUGGACUCGCGGCUUAUCAGCUUGUUGGUGGGGUAGUGGCUUACCAAGGCUUUGACGGGUAGCCGGCCUGAGAGGGUGACCGGCCACAUUGGGACUGAGAGACGGCCCAGUAUCCUACGGGAGGCAGCGGUGGGGAAUAUUGCACAAUGGGCGGGAGCCUGAUGCAGCAACGCCGCGUGCGGGAUGACGGCCUUCGGGUUGUAAACCGCUUUCGCCUGUGACAAAGCGUGAGUGACGGUAAUGGGUAAAGAAGCACCGGCUAACUACGUG